rnacentral:lncRNA from 1 species
AUUAUACAUGUCUGAUUAUAGGGAGAUCGUGGAUGUUUCGUAUGAUCUACACACAGCAUUAAUCACAGGAAAUGGCUUCCUGAAGUCCAAAGCAGCUGAAGUCUGUAGCACCCCUUCAGUCCAAAGCACCCCUUUCCUGAAGUCCAAAGCAGCUGAAGUCUGGAGCACCCCUUCAGUCCAAAGCACCCCUUUCCUGAAGUCCAAAGCAGCUGAAGUCUGGACUUCAGUCCAAAGCACCCCUUUCCUGAAGUCCAAAGCAGCUGAAGUCUGGACUUCAGUCCAAAGCACCCCUUUCCUGAAGUCCAAAGCAGCUGAAGUCUGGAGCACCCCUUCAGUCCAAAGCACCCCUUUCCUGAAGUCCAAAGCAGCUGAAGUCUGGACUUCAGUCCAAAGCACCCCUUUCCUGAAGUCCAAAGCAGCUGAAGUCUGGACUUCAGUCCAAAGCACCCCUUUCCUGAAGUCCAAAGCAGCUGAAGUCUGGAGCACCCCUUCAGUCCAAAGCACCCCUUUCAUGAAGUCCAAAGCAGCUGAAGUCUGGACUUCAGUCCAAAGCACACCUUUCCUGAAGUCCAAAGCAGCUGAAGUCUGGACUUCAGUCCAAAGCACCCCUUUCCUGAAGUCCAAAGCACUCUUUAACUUUAACUUUCUUGGCUUUGGUUCCAUCCAGCCCCUUUUCCCCAAAUUACCGUGUGAAGGAAAUAAAUUCCCUGUGGAAGAUAAUGUUCUCUGUCAUCCUUACCUGCACCUACAAUCACAUAACUCUUUCACUCCAUGGAGAGUUGAGUGUAGCAGGGUGUUGCGUUCCCUCCAAGAGGUGUGCGUAACAGUCACAUGCGCCGAAUACAACAGGUUACAGUGAAAUGCUUACUUACAAGCCCUUAACCAACAAUGUAGUCAAGAAAAAUACAAAAUAAAUAAAAGUAACAAUUAAAUAGCAGCAGUAAAAUAACAACGAGGCUAUAUACAGGAGGUACUGGUUAGUUGAGGUAAUAUGUACAUGUAGGUAGAGUUAUUAACGUGACUAUGCAUAGAUAACAGAGUAGCAGCAGCGUGGGGGGGGACAAUUAAAAUAGUCUAGGUAGCCAAUUGAUUAGAUGUUCAGGAGUCUUAUGGCUUGGCGAUAGAAGCGGUUUAGGAGCCUCUUGGACCUAGACUUGGUGCUCCAGUACUGCUUGCCGUGCGGUUGCAGAGAGAACAGUCCAUGUCUAGGGUUGCUGGAGUCUUUGACAAUUUUUAGGGCCUUCCUCUGACACCGCCUGGUAUAUAGGUCCU